AUUGAACGCUGGCGGCAGGCCUAACACAUGCAAGUCGAGCGGAUGAAGGGAGCUUGCUCUUGGAUUCAGCGGCGGACGGGUGGGUAAUGCCUAGGAAUCUGCCUGGUAGUGGGGGAUAACGUCCGGAAACGGGCCCUAAUACCGCAUACGUCCUGAGGGGGAAAGGGGGGGAUCUUCGGACCUCACGCUAUCAGAUGAGCCUAGGUCGGAUUAGCUAGUUGGUGGGGUAAAGGCCUACCAAGGCGACGAUCCGUAACUGGUCUGAGAGGAUGAUCAGUCACACUGGAACUGAGACACGGUCCAGACUCCUACGGGAGGCAGCAGUGGGGAAUAUUGGACAAUGGGCGAAAGCCUGAUCCAGCCAUGCCGCGUGUGUGAAGAAGGUCUUCGGAUUGUAAAGCACUUUAAGUUGGGAGGAAGGGCAGUAAGUUAAUACCUUGCUGUUUUGACGUUACCAACAGAAUAAGCACCGGCUAACUUCGUG
rnacentral:rRNA from 1 species